UACAGAGGUGGCAAGCGUUGUUCGGAAUUACUGGGCGUAAAGGGCGCGUAGGCGGCCAUCUAAGUCAGACGUGAAAUCCCCCGGCUCAACCUGGGAACUGCGUCUGAUACUGGAAGGCUAGAGUUUGGGAGAGGGAUGUAGAAUUCCAGGUGUAGCGGUGAAAUGCGUAGAUAUCUGGAGGAAUACCGGUGGCGAAGGCGGCAUCCUGGACCAAUACUGACGCUGAGGCGCGAAAGCGUGGGGAGCAAACAGG
rnacentral:rRNA from 1 species